ensembl:lncRNA
GCAAAGCCGAUUCUCCGCGCUUUGUUAACUGAAUCGGAUUUAUUAUAAGUUUAAAAUCCAAACUGCAAUAAGGGGUUUAUCUGAAUCUACAAAGCCACUGCGGAGAUCUAAACUCUCUCUCACACACACAGCGCUCUGAUUAUAGCCUCGUUCACGGUGAAUCUUCACACUGAAAACUGAAAGAAAAAUCUUUUUUACUUGAAACAUCUGCAACAUCUGUCCUCGUGCCCAGGUGCCAGUUUUUGUUUUUUUUUCUUCCUUGAGGAAUUUAUCCUGACCCACCUGGUGGAGUUCACACAGAUCAUGGAAAGGUGGAUGCAGAGAAAAGAAAUGGAAUGAAAAGGACAUGUCUGGAGGAGGACAGAAAAACAACAACAAAACAAAAGUCAGAUAAGAGUGCACCGAAGCUGCGAUAGGAUUUACAUUUGACCUUCAGUCUGUGUGUGUGUGUGUGUGUGUGUGUGUGUGUGUGUGUGUGUGUGUGUGUGGCAUUAGGCACAGAAUAGCACUGGCCCCACUAAUACAUUGUGUUUUGUAAGUAUGAUGCAAAAAUUUAGUUUAGCACUUUUUUAUACACUUUGACAUAUAUAUAUGACACAAUAAGAAAAACACACGAUUAUAAAAAACUAUUUCUAGACAUUGCUUUAGGUAAAGCAAGUUUACCUACUUGGAAAGUUGUUUGCCAAGAGAAAACGAACUUUUAAAGCUUGAAAUGAGUAAAAAUGUCUAAUAAUGUUAUACUAGGUUUAUUGUAAUCUUAUAA